rnacentral:piRNA from 1 species
UCCCUGACUACAGUUUGUCUCCCAUUC